ensembl:lncRNA
GUGGUAUUUAUUGACAUAAGCAGAGAUGGGAUGAGAAACAGUGGUAAAUCGGUGAUUGCAGAGAGUGAGUAAACUGAAUACUGUCCUUGUGAUGAUGUAGGGUGAAGGUCCUGGAAGUAGCAGAAGAGUGGAGACGUUGAGGGCUGAAGACACACACACUCACGAAAGACACAGGAGGUAACUGGGAAUCACUGGAGACAGGUGUGUGCUGUGACAGAAGCUAAACCAGACAUUGCCGAAAGGCCGAAAUUGCAGUCCACACGCCCA